UAGGGAAUCUUCCACAAUGGACGAAAGUCUGAUGGAGCAACGCCGCGUGCAGGAUGAAUGCCUUCGGGUUGUAAACUGCUUUUAUCUGUGAAGAUUAUGACGGUAGCAGAUGAAUAAGGAUCGGCUAACUCCGUGCCAGCAGCCGCGGUCAUACGGAGGAUCCAAGCGUUAUCCGGAAUUACUGGGCGUAAAGAGUUGCGUAGGUGGCAGAGUAAGUUGAUAGUGAAAGCGUCCGGCUCAACCGGAUAUCCAUUAUCAAAACUGCUCAGCUAGAGGACAAGAGAGGUUAUUGGAAUUCCUAGUGUAGGAGUGAAAUCCGUAGAUAUUAGGAGGAACACCGAUGGCGUAGGCAGAUAACUGGCUUGUUCCUGACACUAAGGCACGAAAGCAUGGGUAGCAAACGGGAUUAGAUACCCCGGUAGUCC
rnacentral:rRNA from 1 species